GAAGUUGGAAUCGCUAGUAAUCGCGGAUCAGCAUGCCGCGGUGAAUACGUUCCCGGGCCUUGUACACACCGCCCGUCACACCAUGAGAGUCGGGAACACCCGAAGUCCGUAGCCUGACCGCAAGGGGGCGCGGCCGAAGGUGGGUUCGAUAAUUGGGGUGAAGUCGUAACAAGGUAGC
rnacentral:rRNA from 1 species